AUCACAAUCAACAAUGGACUGGAGUGGCGCUAGCUAGAGCAACCUGGUCGAACUCUCGAUCCUCGGAGAAAGCUCAAACUGCGUUCUCAUGUCAAACGUCGUCGUCUUGGACAACGGCGGCGGUCUCAUCAAAGCCGGCUUCGGCGGCGACUUCGAUCCCUCCGUCAUAAUCCCUAACUGCCUCUACCGUCCUCUCUCCGCCAAGAAAUGGCUCCACCCUUCUCCAAUCUCCAUUUCAACCACCACCGCCACCGCCGCCGCCGCUGAAGCCUCCUCCGAUCUCGACCUCACAUCGGCCUCGGUCCGCCGCCCCAUAGACCGAGGUUAUCUCAUAAACCCCGACCUGCAGCGUGACAUUUGGUCUCACCUCUUCACCUCUCUUCUUCACGUUAGUCCCUCCAAUUCCUCCCUCCUCUUGACGGAACCUCUCUUCACUCUCCCUUCCAUUCAACGCGCCACCGACGAGCUCAUUUUCGAGGAUUUCAAUUUUGCUUCUCUCUAUGUUUCAGAUUCUCCUUCUUUAGUUCACUUCUAUGAGGCCAGCCGCCGCCCGACGAGCCUCCUAUCUAGGGCACAGUGUAGCCUUGUUGUUGACUGCGGGUUUUCUUUCACUCAUGCGGCUCCAGUGUUCCAGAACUUCACUUUGAACUACGCUGUUAAACGCAUCGACCUGGGAGGGAAGGCAUUGACGAACUAUUUGAAGGAGUUGGUUUCAUAUCGCGCUUUGAAUGUUAUGGAUGAAACCUUCAUCAUAGACGACGUCAAAGAGAAGCUCUGCUUUGUCUCCCUUAACGUCCCCCGCGACCUCCAGAUAGCGAGGAAACCAGGAAAGGAAAAUCUCUUCCGAUGCACAUAUGUGCUCCCUGAUGGGAUUUCGUAUGCAAGGGGUUUUGUUAAAAAUCCAGAUGAAGCUAAGAGGUACCUCUCCUUGACUGAAGAAGCCUCAUCUCCAUCACUUGGAGUCAAGAAUGAUGAGAUUGAGCUAGAUGUCUCAGAAAAGACUGAAAACAGGAAGAAAAUUGAUCUAACAAAAAAUGAAUUUGAUUUGACGAACGAACGCUUCCUUGUUCCAGAAAUGAUAUUCCAUCCUUCAGAUUUGGGAAUGAACCAGGCCGGCCUAGCGGAGUGCAUUGUUAGAGCUGUUAGUUCUUGCCAUCCUCAUCUGCACCCCGUGCUCUACGAGAGUAUUGUUUUGACUGGUGGAAGCACUUUAUUUCACAAUUUUGCUGAGAGAUUAGAGAAGGAGCUCCGGCCUAUUGUUCCAGAUGAGUGUAAAGUGAAGAUAACAACCCAAGAAGAUCCCAUUUUAGGGGUGUGGAGAGGGGGAUCACUACUGGCAUCAAGUCCUAGUUUUGAAGCAAUGUGUGUUACCAAGGCCGAAUACGAGGAACUCGGAUCUGCCCGGUGUCGGAAGAGAUUUUUACAUUGAGUGCAAGCAUGAAGAUUUUACCUAAGUUUCUGUGCAAAAACAUGAUCGUGCACGUGGGAAGGCGAACUAAUCGAUCACUCCCUUAUAGAGCUUCAUCAAGGUUCCAGCAAGCUUCAGUGGCGGCUCAUUCAGGCAGAUAAGAAGUAAAACGAAUGAGCAGGCGUUUGUGGGUCAAUUCUAGGCCAUAGCAGGGACCAACGUUCUGAUGAAAAUUAAGUUUGUGUAAGAGGAGGUUGAUGAAAAAUCUUCAUUGGACUGCCUGCAGAGGAUUUACUGGAAUACAGUAAGGAUUUCUGCAUUGGAUUCGAAUUACUUUUUAGUACUAUUCACCUCAAAGUGUUAAUAAAUAUUUGAACUUUUAAUCUUAAGAGACGAGAUAUACGCCAAUGUCUAUGUCAACUACUGUUGAGUUAUACUCGUUAGCUUCCAAAUUUGAUUCUCUGACUGAUUAGAGCCAAGCCAAGCAUGUGUGCUUGAUUCUUGCUUGGGCUUUGGCUUUGGCAUUGUAUUCCAACAUUUGAGUAUGGUCUGAUAGCCUCUCAUAGAAAAAGUUGUCAGUCAAAAAGUUAUUUACUCUGUUUCUGUUGUCCU